AGCGAACGCUGGCGGCAGGCUCAACACAUGCAAGUCGAGCGGGCCCUUCGGGGUCAGCGGCGGACGGGUGAGUAACGCGUGGGAACGUGCCUUCUGGUCUGGAAUAACCCUGGGAAACUAGGGCUAAUACCGGAUACGCCCUUUUGGGGAAAGGUUUACUGCCGGAAGAUCGGCCCGCGUCUGAUUAGCUAGUUGGUGGGGUAACGGCCUACCAAGGCGACGAUCAGUAGCUGGUCUGAGAGGAUGAUCAGCCACACUGGGACUGAGACACGGCCCAGACUCCUACGGGAGGCAGCAGUGGGGAAUAUUGGACAAUGGGCGCAAGCCUGAUCCAGCCA
rnacentral:rRNA from 1 species